rnacentral:rRNA from 1 species
UAGAGGCCUACCAUGGUGGUUACGGGUAACGGGGUGUUAGGGCACGACACCGGAGAGGGAGCCUGAGAAACGGCUACCACAUCCAAGGAUGGCAGCAGGCGCGCAAAUUACCCAAUCCCGACAUGGGGAGGUAGUGACAAUAAAUAACAAUACGGGGUUCUUUCGGAUCUCGUAAUUGGAAUGAGUACAAUUUAAAUCUCUUAACGAGGAACAAUUGGAGGGCAAGUCUGGUGCCAGCAGCCGCGGUAAUUCCAGCUCCAAUAGCGUAUAUUAAAGUUGCUGCAGUUAAAAAGCUCGUAGUUGAAUUUCGGGGUUAGUAGGUUGGUCAUGCCUCUGGUAUGUACUGGUCUCACUGAUUCCUCCUUCCUUAUGAACCGUAAUGCCAUUAAUUUGGUGUUGCGGGGAAUUUGGACUGUUACUUUGAAAAAAUUAGAGUGUUUAAAGCAAGCUAACGCUUGAAUACAUUAGCAUGGAAUAAUGAAAUAGGACGUUCGAUCUUAUUUUGUUGGUUUCUAGGAUUGACGUAAUGAUUAAUAGGGAUAGUUGGGGGCAUUAGUAUUCAAUUGUCAGAGGUGAAAUUCUUGGAUUUAUUGAAGACCAACUACUGCGAAAGCAUUUGCCAAGGAUGUUUUCAUUAAUCAAGAACGAAAGUUAGGGGAUCGAAGACGAUCAGAUACCGUCGUAGUCUUAACCAUAAACUAUGCCGACUAGGGAUCGGAUGAUGU